AUUUCUAUUGUUAAUUAUUAUUAGCAGUAAAAGCUGAAAUUAAAGAAGAAUUUGUUGAAUGUACCUCAAGAUAUAUAGAGAGUCAGCCAUCCACAUCCCUUGAUCUGGGUGACUUAAGGAAUGAACCAGACGGUAACUCAGCAGUAAAAGCUGAAAUUAAAGAAGAGUUUGUUGAAGGUGGCUUAAAAUAUUUAGAGAGUCAGCCAUCCACAUCCCUUGAUCUGGGAGACUUGAGGAAUGAAGCAGAAGGUAACUCAG
rnacentral:lncRNA from 1 species